CCUGUACAGAGACAGAAAUUGCGCCAAAAUUUGAAUGAGAAUAAACUACUGAUUUUACGAUGUGAGGAGAGAGGCCAUAUUGUGAAAAGAGCUCACUUCACCUUAGCUGUUUUCGCAAUAGAAAUGCUAUCACUAGAUGAUGCCCACUCAAUACAAUAACACGGUGUGGUGUAUGAUUGUUGUACAAAGUUUGCGUAGAAGUGGAAGACUACAAGCUUAUCGGUACGACUUACAGAUUGCAGAGAACUUGAUCAAACGCUUUCAUGCAACUAUUCCUUGAUGGGAACUUGUGACAUCAUGCCAACUGGCUUGUUUGGAAUAACUGUUCAGCUCAAAAAUGGCUCCAGUGGUUAGACGGAUGAUGGCACGGCAGAAUGGCUUUAUGGAAACUUCAAGCAUAUGACGGCUUACAUUUCUUCCACAUGGUUAUGAGGCCAGUUUGCAGGUGAUGCUAAAGUUAUCAGAUCUACAGCACCCGUUGACAUACAGCCAACACGUGUCUAGUUCAUUGUCAAAAGAAAUGUUUGUGCCUCUCUUGUUACAACAGGUGUUUUCCAGUUGGAGUACGUGUGUGUGUUUUGUGUAACUGCUGCUCUCACAACUCGGUGUACCCGUGGAAAGGGAUUGUCCUUGGUGUUCCUGUUUGAACUAUAAACCUGCCUAUUUAAUACAAUGCUGUUAAGGUGUUUGAUAUCUGUUAUAUUAAUAAAGUUGUGACUGAUCUUA